rnacentral:lncRNA from 1 species
AAGAUGUUCAUGUAUUUUAUGAUUUUUUUGCAAGUAUAUAUGAUCAUUUAUAUUUUGUUUAAUACUAAUAACAUCUCUAUUGUGUAAAUGUAGGAAGGGUUCAUUGUUAAUCCAGAUGAUAAUAAUGUGAAAAAGAAGAUGCUUACAUACUAUGGUGAGCGUUGGAGGGGCUUUAAGACACAAUUCACCCAUGAUUAUAUAAAACAUGGAGAAGAUAAAGAAAA